rnacentral:rRNA from 1 species
CCUACGGGAGGCAGCAGUGGGGAAUAUUGGGCAAUGGAGGCAACUCUGACCCAGCAACGCCGCGUGAAUGAUGAAGGUCUUCGGAUUGUAAAGCUCUGUGAUGGGGGAUGUACACAAUGACGGUACCCCAAUAGCAAGCCACGGCUAACUACGUGCCAGCAGCCGCGGUAAUACGUAGGGGGCAAGCGUUAUCCGGAUUUACUGGGUGUAAGGGGAGCGUAGGCGGCAGGACAAGGCUGGAGUGAAAUCCCGGGGCUUAACCCCGGAACUGCUUUGGAAACUGUGCGGCUGGAGUGCAGGGGGGGUAGGCGGAAUUCGUAGUGUAGCGGUGAAAUGCGUAGAUAUGAGGAAGAACACCGAUGGCGAAGGCAGCUUGCUGGAGUGGAACUGACGUUGAGGCUCGAAAGCGUGGGGAGCGAACAGGAUUAGAUACCCGUGUAGUC